GUAGGGUGACUGACAAAAACCUCUGGGAACCGCACAGAAACCUUGGGUGGGGCGCAAAGUCUCCAGAGGUUUCCGUUCAGGUUUCCUAAGUGGGACAGGGGCAUAAGGAUGUCUUCAGGAUGGGUGUUGGCUGCUCAGAUGUUAGCUAUGCUGUCGGAGAAAGGAUCUUCUGGUUGGCCUGCCAAUGUUACAAUGGAUUGACUAAGUUCACAUCCAGGCCUACUUUGUUCUGGAGUUACAGAUGAUUCCAGGUAUCUAUGCCAACGUUGUCUUGGCACCACUUGGAAAUCCUGGAUCUGAUGAGUAUUCCAUGCAAAACGCUCAGCUUUGCAUCGGGUUUGAAAGGAGUCUGCCUACGGUUUAAUUAAUGAUGGAUGUUCUGUCUUGUUUUUCAGUACAUAAAUGUAGAAAAUCCACAUCUCCAAUUUUUUUAAUGUUAUUUAUUUCUUUAGAAUUCUGUCAAAGUUGUUUUUCUUCCCUGUGGAUAUGUGUAUAAAUUGCAGAGUUAGAAAAUGUGCAGCAGUUUCGCUCUGUCCACCAUGACAUGAGCAGGUAUCUGAGCUGCCUUGGUCAUUACAACAUCACAGCACUUUGCUUGUGUGUUUGCAAGCAAACUUGUUUGGGACUUUUUAUAUCCCUUGUCUCCCCCACCUUCCCUCCCUCCCCACCAAAGAAAAAAAUAAUUAGUGCUCUUUUAUUUUUGCAGCAGUUUGCCAAAACUUGUCAACUCCAGUGUCCAGCAGAUUAGUUGAAAGGUCCACUUUUUGGUGGAUGCUCUUGUCUGUCAUUAUGGAGAGCUGCCUUGUGGAGACAUCAUGGAUUGACUGGAUGGUUUGGUGUAUCAGAUGAAGGGGACUGAGGUUUGCUGGAUCAAUGCGAGGGGCUGGAGUUUGUACACUUAUGUUGAUGAGAAUCAUGAAUUCCUGAACUAAUCAUGCACUUUUAUUUUAUUUAAAGUUUCUAUUUUGGCAACAAUUUCCUUAAAAAGGUGAACUGGACUCUGUAGGAAUUGCAUUAUGAACAAUUAGCUUUUAGUUCUGUGUUGAAAUUUUUUUUUUUCACAUCUCCAACCAAAUAUUUGAAUCUUGGUAACAUUCCAUCAGAUGGAAGGUUUGUAUUUUUUGUUGAAAUAAAGCCCUACCUGAUUGUUAAUUCUAUGCCGUGCACAGUUCUGCUCAGGGUAGCAGUGAAGUGAAUUGUGGACCAGUUGGGCGACUGAUGUAUCUGAGUUUUGAACAAGAGUCAGAGGCUGCUGGUAAUCUUGCCCCCUUCAUCACUGCCUAAACACAACCUGCUAAAGGGUUAGAAUAGUUAGUUGGCCGAGUAUGUGUUACAGGACAGGAGUUGAGCUGAGGGGUCUAAACAAACAUGAGAGCGUUUGCACUGUGGAAUCUUGACGUCAUCGGUCUGAAGAAGGGUCUCGACCCGAAACGUCACCCAUUCCUUCUCUCCAGAGAUGCUGCCUGUACCUGCUGAGUUACUCCAGCAUUUCUUGUCUGUCUUCAAUGUAAACCAGCAUCUGCAGUUCCUUCCUACUACACACGCCAUCGGUACAGAUUAGUGAAUGCAUCCUUUUUGUUUUGUCCACUGCCAUUGUACUUUCACUGUGGAUUCCGUAUUCGCUGGUUACUAUGAUCAGGAUAUCUGCCCCAGAGACAAGCAGCUGUAAGCAUAGAGGGUGGAUUACAUGUCCACAGCUGUGGGACUUGGGAUCUGUAUUACUAGAAGGAAUAACAUGACAAAAAUAUCUUGAAUUUAAUAAACAAUUUACAUAAAUGCAGA